rnacentral:rRNA from 1 species
ACCAGACUCCUACGGGAGGCAGCAGUAAGGGAUAUUGGUCAAUGGGGGAAACCCUGAACCAGCAACGCCGCGUGAGGGAAGACGGUUUUCGGAUUGUAAACCUCUGUCCUCUGUGAAGAUGAUGACGGUAGCAGAGGAGGAAGCUCCGGCUAACUACGUGCCAGCAGCCGCGGUAAUACGUAGGGGGCAAGCGUUAUCCGGAUUUACUGGGUGUAAAGGGGGCGCAGACGGCAAUGCAAGCCAGGAGUGAAAGCCCGGGGCCCAACCCCGGGACUGCUCUUGGAACUGCAUGGCUGGAGUACAGGAGGGGCAGGCGGAAUUCCUAGUGUAGCGGUGAAAUGCGUAGAUAUUAGGAGGAACACCGGUGGCGAAGGCGGCCUGCUGGACUGUGACUGACGUUGAGGCCCGAAGGCGUGGGGAGCAAACAGGAUUAGAUACCCCAGUAA